GGAGAGACGAGAACAUGGGCCCAGAGAAGGUCAUCUACCAUCUCCUGCAAAGCCUUCAAGCUGGCGCGACCUGGUAGGCUCCAGACCCAUUGUGCAGUCCAGAAUGGAGACCAGCAUGGGGCUUGAACUCACAACUCUGAGAUUAAGACCUGAGCUGAGACCAAAAUCAGAUGCUUAGCUGACUGAGCUGCCCAGGCACCCCUUUCCUGAGACUUUUUGAUGAGGCCUCAACCUCAGCCCCAGCCCCGGCUUUGCCCCACCCAGCCACUCAGCCCAGCUGGAACAAGAAUCCAGAACUCAAGAAAAGGUGUGCCUGGAUUUACACUGCAUGGGAGAUGCACCAUUUCUGUGAGCGGUGUUUAC